CUGGAGCACUAAGACUCUCUGUCACAAGAAGAAAGAAUCCGUUCUUGUCUGGAGGCAAGGGGAUCCCAAAGUGGCCUUGGGAAUCCUGUUAGAUUAACUCAUUCACUUGUUUUGAGUUACCUCGCUAUUCGAUAGGAGUGCCUGCACUUCUGAGCCAAACCCAGAGAGAGGGACUGCGUAAGGGCUACAGCAUCUGCUUCCAAAAGCUCAUCUUGCUUUUCCCCUUGUAGCAUUCCAUUAUUCACACAAUUUCACAGAACUAACCUGGAAUGAUAUCCUUCAGAUGAACUUUAGUGUGUCCAUUAUAAGCUCCCAUUUGGUUCAGGACUAUCCCACUUUAAAAUACCCACUUAUAACUACCAGCUGCAGAUUCUGUUCUCGUCGUACUCACAAGUGCACACAGGAACGCUCACAAAUGCGUGUGACUGUGGGCAUGCACAGGCCGCCGCACACUCUCACUGUCUGUAUGCAGGCAUCCAGAAAGAACAAGGCAUUGUCAAAACUGUCCUGUUGAGUGUGCAAUCUAGAGUGAGUUACCGAGUGCUGAUAAGUAAAGGAAGUGCAACCAGACAGCUUAAUCCUCCAAUUUCCUGUCUUCUAAUCAGCCCCUGAUUCUCUUGGUUUUAAAUUAGAAACACUCCUGACAAUAUUCAGGACAGGUGAAGGAAAAUCAGCUAGAAAAGAAGGAAAGACAAAGCGUUUAUUUCACUGUCUAAAGUUCACAGGAGAAAUACGACCGUAACAACAGGAAAUCAAGAUUUUUAAGAAAGAUAGCAGAAGAGCACAAGCUAGCUUAAGCAGCCAAUCACAUUUCCGAAUGAAGCAGAUUUGGACCAUAAUUAGAUUUAAGGAGAAAAAAAAAAAGGAACUAGUCUAAUGUAUUUGCUUCUCUCUAAGAAUAGUGAAUUGUAUUUGAAAAGCAGUUGUACAGGGCUGACCUCAAAGAAAAUGAUAAGGAUAAAUUCUUAAUAUAUGUGGAAGAAAAAAGUCAACCCUACCUCAUUCAGAUUUUUUUUAGAACCUAUUACUUCCAGUGCUGAGAGAGAAAAAGAAUAUUUGAGGGCAUAGAAACAUCUGAGGUUGGUAGAUAUUCCUAGACAUCAUAUGGUUACACUUAUUCACAAUGGUGGCUACUUAAAGUUGUUUAUUUAAUAAUGAGCUCAGAUCAAGCCAUUCACUGUAUAAAAAUAUUUUUAAAGCACACAAAUGUGUUAAAUUCAAGGUAUAGAAAUAUGUUUAUCAUGGACUCUUUUAAAAAUAGACCAGGUACUGAGACGAUGUCAUGCUUUUUUUUUUUUUUCCUGGUUCUCCUCUUUUUGAGUCUUUUCAUUUAUUACCUUUUUUUUUUACAAUUUCAAUUUUCAAGUUAUUUCAAUCAUUGUCUUGAAAAGGCUAGUGCCAAUUCCUAGGAAAAUCUUCAUUAGGCAUUACCUUCAAAGGCACACAGAAAAUGGUCAUUAAGAAAAGUUGUUCAGUUGACAAUUAACAUUUAAAAAUUGAAAUGGUAAAUGUGGCUCACGAUGUGAAUUCAAGCAAACAGCAGCAAGAGGUUUCUGUAAACAUGAAGCUGCCAGUCCCUGUGGAAGUAGACUGCAGGUGAAGGCUUUUAAUUGAUAAGCAGAAUAAGACAGUAUUUCACAGAAACAUGCUUUUUACAUGCAUAUUUUAAAAAACAGGUAUUUAUAUCAUAAACCAUACCAGAUCCUUCUUGUCCAAGCAUGCUCCUGGUAUAACAAGUUUGAGUUGUAAACAACUGGACUAAACAACAAUUAUUGAUUUAAAAUUAAUGUGUCGAUUUCUAAAGAAAUUGUCAAAAAUAAUUGGUUAGGAAUUUGGCCUGGGUAACAACAGCUAGCUGCAGAAUCACCCAGUAAUUUUUGCUUUAGUCAUCAUAAAUUUUAAAUUUGAAUGAUAGAAGAAAGACAAGUGUAUUUUGGAAUUCGCAGACAAAUUUUCCCAUAACAAACCCUUAUCGCUAAAUUAGUUUGGCCAGGAGAAGGAUUAUUAAGCUGUAUGGGGAGAAUGGAGGUGUUUUAGUGGGUAAAAGUCUCUCUUGGAGCAUAUAUGUGCAUUCGGGGCAUUUCCAAUUUGUUUAGAGUUGGGAAAAAUUUUGUGAGCGCUUUCUUUAGUUUUCUGUCGGAAAGUUUCAACUGGAGAUGUCACAACACAGUGAGAUGCAGUUGAUACGCAAUAUCUAUUUCUUGAUUUACAUGAUUAAAGCAUUAGAGACGUGGCUCAGAUAUCAAAAGAGUCCCCAUAAGUGGCGGUGCCAAAGGUAAUUACUGUUAAAAUGUGCAUGCUUGAACCCGGUUGCCUGUCAACCCCCAGUUGUUUACAACUUAGUGCCUUUGAAUACAAGUUUUCAUUAGACGUUGGAGUAUCCUACAUACUUUUUUGCUCUAUUUGAUAUAAAAAUACAUUUUUAAUUUCUUAUGUUCAGUGUCCUUAAAGAAAGCAUUAACUUUUAACCUAAAGAAGUAAUAGCCAGAGAUGUCCCUUCUCAGCAACUUACGCCACAAAAUAACUGUUUCUUAACUGGAAGUAGUCUUUUCAAGACAAAGCUGAAACAUAUUCAGAAAGAAUGGUGAUUACUUCAUCCAACUGAUUCCAGUUAGUUAUCAGAAAGAGCACUAAACUCCACUGUACACCAGAGCAGUUAUGGGGGGCAGGGAGGUAAAGAGCAGGGAGAGGGGGCGUUCUUAAUCUUUUAUUGACCGGUUUCUUUCAUUCUAGUGUGUCUUUAUUAUUUAGGGAAAAAAAUUAAAAAGUGAUCCAGAGCUCCACCCAUUUGCACCUAAAUCCUGCAAUAGGUGAUGAUCCUCCAUAACCUGGCCCAGCACAUGCCCCCAAACUAAAACAAACAAACUCAUUUGCCAUACAAAUUGUUUACGAUUCAUUAAAAAGCAAAAUUGCAUAUCCCGGUGCUGGCAGCUGAGGCCGAGUCUCCAUGGGCGGAGGGGGCAUUCACUGAGUUGCCUUUGUAUGCUGGGAGGACCAAGCCGGAGGUUCCCACUAUGAGCCCGGAGUCUGAGCAGCCAGAUGACACAGGAGGUGGGAAAACCUCUAGACAGCUGCCGAAUACAAGCCACUUAUUCAGGACGAAUGGGAAAAGGGAAGUGUGCAGAAUCUCUUGCAUUGGGUCACUUGCAUUUGGUGGCUGUCAUUCCUGUGAGCUGAGCUGUGCUGGGGCUGCAGACGGCACCUGUGCAGCAGCAACACUGCAACCUCAGCCUGAGUUUUGUUUUGAAGAUGAGCUACAUUGGGGUCCCCAACUCCCACCAGUGACAAUCUACACAGGUCUAUGCCCAGAGGCCUUCCGUGUGGGCACCUCAGGGUCCGGGAGAAUUGAUCACUAUUUCUCAAAACUACCCAAUUCUGAUCAUUGAAGAGUUGUGUUUUUACAGUCCAACUACCUGAUGGAUUUUUCCCAGUCAUAUUUUCAACCUAAUUAUGUUUUGGGAGCUUUUGUUCAGGUCUUUAAGUCGCAAAGAAGUUAAAUUGGAUGGCUUUUUUUUUUCUUUAUGGCCUAUUCCUUAAUAGUAGUAGGAGUUAUUUUUUUAUUUUUAUUUUUAUUUUAACUAUUUGGCCUUAUGGUAGUACGGUAGAUAUCUCUUUUUGACCAAAAUAACUUCAGGAAAGUAACUUUUAGUCUUUAGAACCAGAGGUGUUUUCUUGUUUCAGCCAUGGCUCACAGGCUGCAUUUAGGAAUGAACAGCACAUUUACUAAACGGGGCAUUUGUUCUUUUCUCGUCCCCCAUUGUAAUCUCCUAAUAACAUUGGGAUAGAAGAAUUAUUCUCACUCUUUAGAAGGUUCUUUGUGCUUGCACAUCCUUGGUCUCAGAUCUCUUCGAAUAAUCUGUGACAGCACAAUGUUAGAUUGGUGUCGGGAUCUGCUGAGGGACACGUGCUCCUUCCAGAAAUGCACCCCAACUUUCCCGGCCAGAACCCCCACAGCCUUGUGCAGUCACCAUCUUGAGAAAGACAAGGAAAGCGUUUGUAAAUUCUAUGUAAAAUGUAAAAUAGUAACUUGACCCCCGCCCCACAAAGGAAUAGGAAAAGGAAGCAGCAUUCUGUCUUUGAAUCUACCCGCUGUUCCACCCAUUCACUUCCCUUAGACUCUCUUUCCCACUUCAUCUUCUCCGGCUUCCUCUCCUGCAUAAAGGUGCAUGGACAUGUAUACUCAUGAGGCUGCAGUGUUUCCAUGUCUUAGUGUGUCUGUCAGAAACCUCUGAAGUUGGAGGUGUUUGUCCUCUGAGGCACAGCAUUUCCAGGAUUCAGAACAUCGUAUGCUUGCCCAUUUAUUUAUGAAUGAAUGGGGUACUGCCUAAACUGGCAUCCAGAUUUCAUUUUGUGAAUGAUGAAAUACCUGAGAGGACUUUGCAGCAGAUAACACAGUAGUCGUCUUGAACAAAGAAAUGUUAGAUGUUUUUUUGGAUAACAGUUUUAAAUCCAGAACAAUUAGAUACAUUUAACUUGAUCAUUGUCAACUAAAAGCCUGACGGAAGCUGCCCUUUCUCAUGCAGCAGUCUUUUCACAGUGUGGCCCAUCGUUAAUAGCCUUAAAACAAGAUUAAAUAAAACAUGUUAAAUAUUGCAAUUAUUGUGGGAAAUAAAAUUAUUUGGUGAGCAUAAUGGGGAACAAUUCAAGCAUUUAACAUGAUCCAGGAAAUGCUACUCCAAACAAUUGCAUUGCUUUAUGCAUUUUCCCCUCUUUGAUUGCUGACAGAUGCCUUUUUGGAAACAAACAUCUAAAUGGUUUGCCUUCAGUCAGAAAAAAAAAAUAUAACAGAAAGCAGCUACAUGGUUUGAAUUUAACUCUUGUCAUUUGAACGCGUCUCCAUGCACGUGAGUGGAGCUAAGGCAAAGGCAGCAUUCCCAUCGGGAAAGAAGUCCAUAGAGUCUGAGCUUUUCGUUUUUUUCCUUAACUUCCCUUGAGUGUGUAUGAUAACAAGUGGGGUCCCCUCGCUGUACAAUCAGGAGACAGAAUAAGGUCCAGGUGAUAAGGGGAAGCACUAGGAGGAACAUGGACCGUCACAAGAAGCUUAGGCCAAGUGCCAAUGACUUUAUAACCUUGCUCUGGUCAUCACAGACCAAGUCCCCCAAAUGAAACAUCCACUUUAUAUAAUGAAAAAACAAAAACAAACAAACAAACAGUGAUCCCAGAGCACAAGAUUUGUAGCUGGGUCUUUCCUCCAGUGCACUGGGGUAUAAGCCUCUAAGACUGCAGUCAACAGGUGUACAAUACCGAUGAACAGUUCAGAAUCUGGUUCUGUGCUGCUGAAGGGCAAUGUGUAAUGGAUUAUUAAUGUUGUUUCAGAGGCUUGGGUAGUAGAAUGGUUGAGAGUACUGUUUCUGAAGUCUCAUACCCUGUUCUGGGAGUUACUGGCUGUGUGGCCUCUCCUAUUUUAACUAACUUUUCUGAUUUUCUGUGUCCUAUAUUAAUCAGGAAAUCAAAGAAAAUAACAUUUAUUUUGUAGGCGUGUGUACAUUUGUGUAUGUAUAUGUGCACUUGUAAGCAAAAAUAUGUAUCAAGUGCAUAUUUCCUAAUACGUCACAAGUGCUGUGUUGUUACUACUGCUUUGUUUAUGCUGUGCCCCUCUUGAGAAGCGCCCUGUUUUUCGGUCUUCUGGUCCUGUGCUGUGAGGCUGGGUUAUCUCUCUUCUGUUCUCCUCCAGUAACCUGUGCCUUGUUCCAUCACAGCUCUGAGACUAGUCCCCACUCCCCAAAUCAUGUCUUACAGCCUGCCUUUCCAUCUACACCUGAGAUUCCCAAGGCUAGGUGGUGUCUUUUUUUUUGUUAGGAGGGAGGGCCAUGAGAAGGGCAGGAAGUUCCCCACUACUCAGGUCAGGAUGACAAGAAGACACAGACGGUCUGCCCACCUAGAGAGCCGGUUGCAGGCUAACAGUCCAGCAGACUCCUCUUUCCUUUCUGUUCAUGCUGUUUCCCCUUUUAGUACACAGUCUGGGUCAGAGUCCCGCUCCACAGGGAGCUGCAGCUCACACCAAUCUGCAGCUCUUUGACUGCCUUUGCCUUCCUUAUCUCUGUCGCUCUUCUGUGUCUACUCCAGAUAGACUGGCUGUAUUACUACCUGUCUUUGAUGAACAUAUGUCUUUUAUCCAUUCAUCCAUCCAUUAAAUAGCAUUUCUGUAGUGCCAGCAAUUAAAUGCAUUUCCCUCUCCUUUUAAGCUUUGUUUCCAGAACCCUUGGAAAUGUGAAACUCUACAAGAGCACGUGAUUUGAACACAGCAUGUAAUAACAGCUAACGUUUAUCCAGCAUUUCCUCUCAGCCAGGCGAUGUUCCAAGAGCCUUAAGUAUUUUUUUCCAGCUUCCAGGGUACCAGAAAACACUAUGCAAACUGCCAAGAGAGGGAAGCAAUUAGUAGUCCUACCCAGCUGUGAUACCUACCACCCAUGGCAUGACCAGAAUGGCCAGAUAUCCACAAAGGCAGCCAACGUGUGAGGAGGUGAAGACUAUCACAUAAAUCCACAGUUGGACAUGAAGCAGACAUCAACAGGUCCUGUGGAACCCAGCCCCAACAGAUACAACUGCAUCACAACUCCUCCAUCUAUGGUUCUGCAAACACCACAGAAAAGGGGAUGGGAAGAUUGUAAGAACUAAAAACCCCAGGAAGUCUGCUGUGAAACAGUUUCCCCUAGAAAUGUCUGCAUGAGCAAGAUCUGAACAAUGGCAAUAUCAAUAGACAUGUUGACAUGGAAGGAAAAAAUCUCAGAGUCACAUCCCUGGAUAAGGAACUACAGGCAACUGAUGACUGCUGAGAAUGAUAGAGUUAUGUUCUAUCAGGAAUAAGCUCCAACAUUAGUUAUUUAAUACAAACAGCAUUUCUGAAACCACAUAUAUAUAUAUAUAUAUAUAAAGCAAGCAACAGAAUGGACCCGGCAGGUUGUAUUUAUAUACUUGUGCAUAUAUACAUGUAACAAUAAUAAUGGAACAAGAAGAGGCUAUCAAUUUAAGAUUUUCGGGAACUUUGGGAGUAGCUAGAGGGAGAAAAGGGAAGAGGAAAAGGGUUAUAAUUAUUUUUAAUUAAAAUAUAUAAAAAUUACAAAGAGAAAACAUUCAAUGAAUUUUAUUUUGUGAUUAGGGCAGUUUCUCAUAAUUUCUGAAAUGGAUCUAAACAUACUCCUGCAUUUUGUACUAUGUAUUUAUGCAGAAUGGUGUUCUCAGAAUUGAUGAUUAUAAAAAUAAACAUUGAUCACUUGAAUAAAUAUUCAAGAUGUUCUAUAUCCUUCAGUAUAAAAUCACUCAAGAUUCAGUUCUUUAUGUGAACAUUAGCAAGCAUGUCCAUCUUAUUAGUAAGAAAAUUUGAUUUAAUUUUUAAUAAAUGGUCAAAUUGUAUGUAUACCAAAUAAUUGCUUUAAAAUAUUUUUUGUAAUUUGUUACCAGUAAAUAUAUACCUAUUUUAUAUACCUACAUAUCAAUGGUCAUGUAAAAAUUUCUCAGGUAUAAAGGGGUUGUGAGUGGAAAGUUUAGGAAGCCUUGUUCUCGACUGUCUAUAUCUGAAUAAUUUUUUUAAUAUAGCUGCUAUUUAUUUCUCAUUUAACAAGUUUUAAGUUUGUUUUUAAUCAUAAUAAAGAUAUAUAACAUUAAAUUAACAUUAAAGUUUUAAGUGCAGAGUAUUGUUAACUAUACAUACUGUGUUAUGUUAAAUAACUUAAGUCUUAGUCCUUUUUUUUAUCAUUAGUCUCAAGACAUUUUCAAUUUAUCUUGAUUUAUUCUUUGACCCAUUGACUAUACAAGAGUAAGUUGUUUAUUUACAUGUGUUUGAGAAUUUUUGAUUUUUACUUUCAUUUUGUUAGGAAUGGAAAUGAUGUUUGAUAUGACUUAAACCUUAUUUAAUUUAAGACCUUUUGUGAUCUAGCAGUCUAUACUGUAGAAUGUCCCAUUACACUUGGAAAUGGUGAGUUCUGUGUCCACUAGACAGAAUAUUCUUCAUAUGUGAGUUUAGUCCAUCUGGCCUAUUUCUUCUUUUCAAGCCUAUGGUUUAUUUACUGAUUUCUGUUUGAGUGUCCUGUCUAUUAUUGAUAGUGGAAUAUUGUAAUCUCCUGCUGUUUUAUGUUGCUGUGUAUUUCUUCAGUGCUGUCAAUGUUUGCUUCAUAUAUUUGGGUUCCCUGAAUACAAAUUCUGGUGAAUUGGCUGCUUUUAUCAUUACAUAUACCCUUCUUUGUCUUUCAUGCCUUUAAAAAAAACCUUAAAUUAUCUUUUCCUGGAAUGUGAAUAGCAGACUUUCUUCUCUUUUCAUUAUUGUUUGUAAGAAACAUCAUUUUCUAUAUCUUAUUUUUAUCCUGUGCAUGUCUUUAAAUCUAAAGUGUAUCUCUUGUAGACAGCAAAUAGUUGGAUUUUUGUUGUUGUUGUUUUUAAAUCCAUUCAGAUCACAACCUAUGGGUUGUGAUCCCUUUGCAAACCUCUAUCUCUGAAAAUAUUUACAUUAUGAUUCACAAUGUAGCAAAAUUACAGUUAUGAAGUAGCAAAAAUAAUUUUAUGGUUGGGGUCACCACAUCAUUAGGUAUUAAAGGGUUGCAGCAUCAGGAAGGAUGAAAACCACUGCUUCAAAUGCUCUUAUGUCUUAUGACUAGGGGAUUUAAUCAAUGUAUUCAAAACAAUUUAUUAUAGAGAAGAACGUAAGACUACCUUUUAGUAAUUGUUUUCUGUCUAUCUUAUAGUUUUUGUAGUCUUUUCUUCUCUGUGUUUUUCUGACUUAUUAGCAGUGGAUAGUUGCAAUCUUAUUUACCUCUGUGCAUAAUCUACAGGUAUUGUUUCUGUGUUUACCAUAGAGUUUGCAUAGCAUGACUUAUAUUUAUAACACUGACUUCAAGCUGACUGCAGCUUAUCUUUAACAGUACAUACAAUUUUUACAUUUUAUUUUAUUUCUGAAUUCUUUUGGGGAUGCUUGUGAUUGAGCCCAGACUUUGUGUAUAAUAAGUGAAUGUUCUGACACUGGGCCACACCUUCAGCCCUCUACCCCUACGUGGUGUCAUUACUAUCACAAAUUAUAUUUUUAUAGCUGUAUUUAUUUUUCAUUUAUGUCUAGUACCAUAAAUGAAAUUAAUUUACAUACUGUAAAUUAUGAUAUUUUAGUAGUCUGCAUUUGACUAUGCAUUUACCUUCACCAUUAGGCUUUCUACCUUUAUAUGCUUGUGUAAGACUCUUACACUUUCAUUUCAAUUAAAAAUUCUCUUUAGCAUUUCUUAUUUUAAUAAAUGCAGUGAUGAUGAAUUCCUUUGGUUCCUGUUUAUCUGGGAAGGCCUUUCUGCUUUAUUUUUGGAGCGACUUUGGUCAGGUAUUACUUGACAUUAUUUUUCUUUAGCACUUGAAUAUGUCAUUGUGUACCCUUCUGCCUGGCAAGGUAGCAAUGAGAAAUUGAUAGUCUUACCACGUCUUCCAUGUAUGUGACAAGUCACUUUGAUCUCAGGGCUUCCCAAAUCCCCUAUCUUUGAUUUUGACAACUUGACUGUAAUUUCUCUUAGCAUGUGCUUCUUUGUACUAACCUCAACUAGGGUCUUUUGGACAUUUAGAUGUCCAUUUCCUUCCACAGGUUUGGGAAUGGUUGACUACUAUUAAUUUGGACAAUCUUUUAUUAUCUGCUUCCUUUCUGUUCUCUUAGCACUAAAAAUCUAACCAAAAGCCCAAGAAGUACUUUAAAAAGCACUCAUCCCUUUCUUUCCUAACCUUUCUACUCUAUGGUGUCCCCUAAUUUCUGCAGGUUUUUUUUUUCUCCUUUUCUGUUCAUUUUUAUUAUACUUCUGACUGGAUAAUGUCAAUGAUCCAUCUUUGUGUCUGUUGAUUCCCUUUCAUGAAUGAAGUUACUAAUGAACUCCCUCUCUUGUGAAUUUCCAAUUCUACUGUGUUCUUUAGGUUUAAAAUUAUUGUUUGGUUAUUUUAAAAAAUUUCAAGAGAAUUGAUAUUGCCAUUCUGUUCGUGUUUUCUUGUGAGUUGAUUGAAUAUCUAUAAUAUGGUUAUUUUGAAUUCUUAAUCUGGUGAUUCAUUUAACUCCAUUACUUGCAGUGAGGUUUUGGAGAUUUAUUUUGUUCCUGUGAUUGGGCCAUGUCUUCUCAUUAUAUCCUGUGCCUUGUACCUUUGUAUUUAGAGUUGUAUAUUUGAAAAAACACCUGUCUUUGUAUCUUUAUACUCCUCUGUACAAAGAAGGACCUCUACAGUCAUCCAUGGUGUAGAUUCUGGAACCCUCUCAAGUUUUCCCAAGGACACAUUUUCCAUGCUUGUUGUGUACAACCCUGUCAGAAUUUUGCUGGUUUAUUCUUCAGCUUGUAGUCUCUUUCUCCCUCUAGUGUCUAUCUAUAGUAGUACAAGUUUCACAGUGCUAAACUAUGUGCCCUUCCCUGUGGCCUCAGGCCAACCAGGUACUAUUUCUCUAUCAGGAACCUGUGUUGGGUAAACCAGUCUCUCUGAAGCUCUCUGAAGAGCUGGGAUUUUUCUGACACAUGUUCCAUUCAUCCCUUCCACUCUCAAAGCCACAAGCUGGGCUCUCACUCCUUAUAGUGGCGGACUGUGCCAGUUUCUGUUUGUGGCAUUACAAGUUCUCUGGCACCAACACAAGCUGUUGAGCUCACUUUUGUUCUCUGUAGCCCCUAGGCAUGAACACUGUGAAGUAUGUGAGACAGAAAUUAGUUCCUCGAGAGAAAAGACUUGGAAUGUAAAUUCUACUUUUCUCUUUACCUCCCAAGGAAGAAGCUGCAAAUUGGGCUUUUGUGCUCUGAGAUGUGGGGCCUUGGCUCUGGAGAAAGUGAUAUGUUUGAAAUGGAAUUGCUUCUUUUACUCUUCUCUCUCUAUGAACCCCUCUUCUAUCCCCCUUCUUUCCUUCCUUCCUUCCUUCUUCCUCCGUUUCUUUUGAGAUUGACUAAUGUUGCUCAGGCUGGCCUUGAACUUAUGAUCUUCCUACAUCAGCUUCUUAUGUAGCUGAGAUUAAGGAUGUAUAUCACUGUGCCUAGCUUACCAUUUUCAAUGUGACUAUUCUUGGCUUUUAACUUAAGGUGUUGAAAUUUCCCAGUUGAUUUCUGGGGUUCUCAUAAAGGCAUUUCUCACUCAUAUGUGUUGUAUUUUAGUCAACCUUUCUAUGAGGGUGAUGAGAUUUGGUGCUUCGGAUUCUGCCAUCUUGCUGAUGUCACUCCUCUAUAUCUCUUAAAUAAUGAGAAAUGAAAACAUACUCCACACUCAUGUUCAAAAUGCAAAAUUUCCUACCCCAUAUGCUACCUUCUUGAUGUGUUUUUUACACAGUUGUCAUAACAAAGUACAUUACUCAACAUUGCUCAUCCAGGGGCUCUGGGUUUCUAUGAGCAGAUGCAGUAUUACAUUUUACUCAAGGCCUUGCAUUGGAGAGCCAUGCAUUUCAUAAACACAAAACCAUUAUUGAAGAACACAUGGGUGCCUCUGUCAAUCAGAUUCUAGUGUUGAGAGCUGGCGUAUGCAACUGUCCCAGUCACCUUUAAUCGUCAACUUGACACAGCCUAGGGAAAGAAGUAGCAUGUCUGUGGGGGAUUGUUUUGGUUGUUAACUGAUGUAGGAGGGCCUAGCCCAUUGUGGAAUGCACCAGUUCCUAGCUCAGUGGUUCUCAACCUUCCUAAUGCUGUGAUUCUUUAAUACAGUUUCUCAUGUUGUGGUGACCCAUAAAUUAUUUUUGUUGCUACUUCAUAACUGUAAUUUUGCUAUGUUUAUGAAUUGUAAUAUAAAUAUCUGUGUUUUCUGAUUGUCUUAGGUGACCCUUGUAAAAGGGCUAUUUGACCCCAAAAGGGUCACAACCUACAGAUUGAGAACCACUGCCCUAGGCAGAUAGGUGGUCCUGGGCUGCAUAGAAGCUAGCUAAACACAGGCCUGCCAAAAAGUCAGUAAGGUAAUAUCUCUCCAUGAUUUUUUGCCUUCAAGUUCGUACUUUAAUUCCUGCCCUGUCUUUGCUUAUCGACGAUCUAUGACUUGGAAGUGUUAAAAGAAAAGAAAAGAAAAAAGAAAAGGAAGGAAAAAUGCAUUCCUCUCCUAUGUUGCUUUUCGUCCUAGCAUUUUGACACAGCAAUGGGAUGGAACUAUACAAGCAACUAAACAUCUCUUCUCAUGAACAACUCCUGACAAAUCUCAAAGGAAACCUUUUUUAUUUUUACUUCUCUUACUGAAUGUAUUUAUCACAUGCAUUAAAGAUUUGUGGUUGGCAUAAUUGCAGCAUCAAAGAGAGUCUCCACCUCAGAAUGUAAGGAACAUUAGGACAGUAGAAGCCCCUAGGUAAAAGCAAAAGCAGAUUAGUUACUUACCAAGUCUGUCUGUUUCAGAAGGCUUGACUACACUAGAUUCCUGAUCAGUAUAGAAUUACCUUCUAGUGUGGAGAAUCUUUUCAUUGCUUUUGCUUUCUAAUGUGAAAUGAAAUAUCCAUCCAUUUAUUUCAUAUGUAUAUACUAGUAAUUAGAAAUGACAGAUAAAAACAUUUUGAAACAGUUAAAAAUUUAUAUUAACAUUAAAUUUGGGCAUAAGUAUAAGUAAUUUAUAUAUAAACAGUGAUACCAGUCUUCUAAUUGUUUCUGACUCUGAAGAUUAGGUUUUCUCUAAAGUUAAUAGGAACUUAUGUGCUACAAUGACUAAGGAAUCACUGUAAUGACAUGUUACUAUUGAAUAAAUCAAAGUCAUGGGUUAAUAAUUUUGAUUUCCAUUAUAGGAAUCUAUGGCUGGUCAAAAUGCAGAGAACAAUUGACCAAUGGAUACAUCUACAAUUUAACUCAUAUGCCUAAGGCUUGGGAACAUUGUAGAAGGUAGGGUGCCAGAAAGACUGUAAGAGCCAGUGGCCAGGAUGUCUGCUGUGAGACAGUGUCUUUUACAUGUAACAGGGAAGCUGAACCUAUGAAAUCUCAACAAUAUUGUCCCCUAAACAAGACCUGUAUAACAACAACACCAGUUGACAUGGCAGUAUGGAUGGGGAAAUCUCACAAGGCCUUAUCCUAAAAUGAAGAGCCAAGGGCAACUAAUGGCUGCUGAGGGAGAAUGAAUCAGUCUCCUUAGGGAAAGCCAUCCCUGAUAGUUUAACCAGUCCCAAGUGGUCAGCCCUUAACAAAUACACGUAAGAGCAACACUAAAUGGACUCAGUAGACUGUAUUUAAAUAUACACAUGUGUACACACAGACACACACACACACACACACACAACAAUUAAGGAAGAAGAGGUCAUGGAUUUGAGAGGGAGUGUGUGUAUGGGACACAGGAGGAGCUGAAUUCAGGAGAAGGAGGCAUGGAAAUGGUGUAAAUAUAUAUUCAUGUCCUGAGUUCUUGUAUAACUUCCAGGGAUUUACCUGGCUAGGUGAUGGGUGAUGGUGCUCUGUAUGCUAUGAAUGUGUUGUUCCCAUUGGUUGAUAAAUAAAAAUUGCUUGGCCAUUAGCUCAGACUUAUUAUUGACUAGCUCUUAAACUUAAAUUAACCCAUAAUUAUUAUUUAUGUUUAGCCACGUGGCUUGGUAUGUUUUCUCAGUUCUGCCUUCACAUCUUGAUUCCUCUGUGUCUGGUUGGCAACUCCUGACUCAGCCUUCUUCUUCCCAGAAUUCUCCUUGUUUGUUUAUCCCACCUAUACUUCCUGCCUCGCUACUGGCCAAUCAGCAUUUUAUUUAUCAACCAAUGGGAACAACACAUUCACAGCAUGCAGAGCACCAUCACCCACCAUUUCCCCCUUUCUUUCUAUUUAAAAGGAAAGUUUUAACUUUAACAUAGUAAAAUUAUAUAUAACAAAACAGUUAUCAAGAAAAAAUUAUAGUUAUAAUAUUUAGUCUAUUUGUAUUUGGCAAAAAUAAAAGAAGAUAUCCUAUCUAUCCUAUAUUUGUGAGUCCAAGGUUCCAUAUCUACCUUAUCUCCUAUCAAAACCAAGGAAAACCAUAAUUAUAACUAUCUAGUCUUCAACUAUAUCAAAGACCUCAAAAGGAUAUAAUAUUACCUAAGUAAACAGGAAGAACAUUGUAAGCAACUUCCAAAAAUCUAGAAUAAAAGAGAUAGCUAGCUGCCUGGACAGUUACCCAAAGUUCUUCUGCAAUGUGGAGCAUCCAUUCUUCAGCCUACAGGCCUAUAGUCUCUCAGUUGCUUCUCUCUGUGUCCUGUUGAAUGUCUGGAAGUUUCUUCUGCAAAGCAGGAACCUGAAGGACCAUUUUGCCUUGCUAAGUUCAGUGAUCACCUUCCUAUAGGUCCUGCAUGUCCAGUCAAUACAUUUUAUCAAGCAGUCCAGGCAAGAACAGUUUCUUGCCCAAAUGGCUAUUUUUGCCAAGAAGAAGAUAAAUUCCAUAUGGAGUGUCUUCAACUCCCAUCUCUCUCUCUGAAGUAAAUCGGUGCUGCCAGGAGCAGAUAUGUCUCACUGUCCAGAAAGUCUAAGUUUUUAAAACAUUUCAAAUGCCAUAUUCUGUAGGUCUUAGACAUAUUUAAAGACUACCUAACUAAUUGAAAUAUAUCUGUGUAUACCUAGAAAUAAGAAUUAACAUAUCUUAACAUAAAUAAGAAUUAUGGGUUAAUUUAAGUGUAAGAGCUAGUCAAUAAUAAGCCUGAGCUAAUGGCCAAACAAUUUUAAUUAAUAUAAGCUUCUGAGUAUAUCUUAAACAGCUGAGUAUCUUAUAAACAGCUGUGGGCUCUGUGGGGCUGGGCAGGACUUGAGAAAACUUCAGCUACAGCUAGGGGUGACAAGGCAAUGAAGAAAUGAUAGGCACACAGAGAAACACAGAAAAGCUGAGAUUGAGUAGACUGGGCUCUCUGAUGGAGAAACUGCAGCACCCUGGAAACUCAGCAUGUUUAUUAUAUAUACAGUUGAACACAGAGGUGGUGUUAUUGCAUACAGACAAACAAAGAGGCAAGGUUAUUGUACACAGCGAACAAGGAGGCAGGUUUAGCCAACCUCCGUAGGGAAAGCUUCUGUAGAGGAGCAGUGUACAGGCCUUACACAGCCAGGAAAAGAAAGCUAUGGUUGGCAUUUUUUUUUUUUUUUUUUUUUUGCACAUGCUAUCAAUAUCCGCACACGGACAAGAAGAAGGUUUAGCUGUCCUUUGGAGCUUCACUCUGUGAGUGUGUUUGUGGGGGGGCUUUUGCCAUUUUCUUGAGUCUGAGGCUAUGGCCAUUGACAUGGACAUGCUCAUGUCAACAGCACACAUGGACCAAGGACUUCGUUCAUUCAGAACUUCCUCCAGUCCCCACACUCACAUCUGAAAUUCUAAAUCAAAUCAAAACAAAAUAAAACAAAAAAACACUCUACAAUUAAAAAAGAUUUGCUCAAAUGUAGCAAAAAAGAAAAUUUUGCAUUUAGGUUAUCAUAUUUCCAUAAAUUAUGUCUUUAGUACACGAGGCAGCUCAAUCACUAAUUGUAUAACAGUCACACAUUCACAAUUAUAAUGAAAUUCUAUUAUCUUACAAUUAAUGGAGGAAAAAGCAUGGAUUUGAGAAAUAUGGGUAUAUGGGAAGGUCUGGAGGGAGGAAGGGGAAUUGGGAAAUGAUGUAAUUAUACUCUUGAAAAAAAUAAAAGAAAUUAAAGAAAGAAAAAAAAUUCUGUUAUCUUUGAAGUCUUGCUUACCUCAUUCAUAUAAAAAUACCUUUAUUUACAUUUUAGAUUUUUAUUUCUAUCAGCCUAUUUGUCAAUAUAUGAAUAUAGAAUAAAUAACAUCUAUCUUUUUGUACAAUAUGAACUUUUAGUCAUCACUCACAUACUGUGUGAGACUCUUAUCUUCUUUCUGGGACUCAUGACAUGUUCAGGGUAGCUGAACUGGUUGUGCUUUGCCAGUCACCACUCACUGCUCUGUGGGGAUACUUGGAAUAAAGAGUGGCAGUUGAAAAUCC